rnacentral:lncRNA from 1 species
AUGUCUCUCUUCUUCUCUCUCUCUCCAUUUCUCUGUUCAUCCAUCUUUGACUCCAUCUAUUUCUCUGUCUAUCUCUCUCCCAGGUUUGAUCACAGCUGUGUCCUUCAGCCUCGACGCCCGCGUGGCAGACGGCUGUGCGACCCUCACCAUCACAGACCCCCUGACCGCCCUCUACAAGAACGGCAGUCUGCUCACCAUCAGAGACGUGUUCCAGAAUCAACUCAACUACAGGGUCAGCUACCAGAAGGUCGGAAGCACCAGAAAGAAGGAGACGGACGUGGACAGCAACGUGGCUGUAGUGGACGGUCUGGAGCCCAACGAGGGCUACUGCUUCAGCGUGGCGGCCAAGGUCCUCAGCAGAGCAGAUCUGGGGGCCUGGAGCCAGCAGCAGUGCUCCAAGGCCCACGGGCCCUUCCUUCAAGGGCUGAGGGCCGAGGUGGUGGUGGGCCUGUGUCUGCUCCUCCUCCUGCUCCUCGUCAUCAUCAUCACCUCCGUAGUCUGCUGCCGUCGCCGCCGGCAACGCCGCCAACAGAGGACCGCUCAGAUGCUCUGAACCGCUUAGGACCGGUGUCCGUGUGUGUGUGUGUGUGUGUGUGUGUGUGUGUGUGUGUGUGUGUGUGUGUGUGUGUGUGUGUGUGUGUGUGUGUGUGUCUAGUUGUGUCUAUGUGUGUCUGUAUGUGUUUGUGUGUGCGUCUGUGUGUGUGUGUGUGUGUGUGUGUGUGUGUGUGUGUGUGUUUGCGUGUGUAUUUGUGUGUAUGUGUGUGUAGUUGUGUCUAUGUGUGUGUGUGUGGGUGUGCCUGUGUGUGUGCGUGUGCCUGUGUGUGUGCUUUUGUGUGUGUGUGA